GACGAACGCUGGCGGCGCGCUUAACACAUGCAAGUCGAGCGGAAAGGCCCUUUCGGGGGUACUCGAGCGGCGAACGGGUGAGUAACACGUGAGUAAUCUGCCCUUGGCUUUGGGAUAACUACCGGAAACGGUGGCUAAUACCGAAUACGACCACUCCUUGCAUGAGGUGGUGGUGGAAAGUUUUUCGGCCAGGGAUGUGCUCGCGGCCUAUCAGCUUGUUGGUGGGGUAAUGGCCUACCAAGGCUUCGACGGAUAGCCGGCCUGAGAGGGUGACCGGCCACACUGGGACUGAGACACGGCCCAGACUCCUACGGGAGGCAGCAGUGGGGAAUAUUGGGACAAUGGGCGAAGCCUGAUCCAGCAACGCCGCGUGAGGGAUGACGGCCUU
rnacentral:rRNA from 1 species